rnacentral:rRNA from 1 species
AGGGCACCACCAGGAGUGGAGCCUGCGGCUUAAUUUGACUCAACACGGGAAAACUCACCCGGCCCGGACACUGGAAGGAUUGACAGAUUGAGAGCUCUUUCUUGAUUCAGUGGGUGGUGGUGCAUGGCCGUUCUUAGUUGGUGGAGUGAUUUGUCUGGUUAAUUCCGAUAACGAACGAGACUCUAGCCUACUAAAUAGAUCGUCGGCUUACAAACGCCGGCGAGACUUCUUAGAGGGACAGGCGGUGAUUCAACCGCACGAAACAGAGCAAUAACAGGUCCGUGAUGCCCUUAGAUGUCCGGGGCCGCACGCGCGCUACACUGAAGUGAUCAGCGUGCUUUUUCAACCUACUCUGUCAAGGGUGGGGAACCCAAUGAACCUUCUUCGUGAUUGGGAUAGGGGAUUGUAAUUAUUCCCCUUGAACGAGGAAUUCCCAGUAAGCGCGAGUCAUAAGCUCGCGUUGAUUACGUCCCUGCCCUUUGUACACACCGCCCGUCGCUACUACCGAUUGAAUGUUUU